rnacentral:rRNA from 1 species
AACACUCGCGAGAGCUAGCAAUCCCAUAAACCGUGGCUCAGUUCAGAUCGUAGGCUGCAACUCGCCUACGUGAAGUAGGAAUCGCUAGUAAUCGCGGGUCAGCAUACUGCGGUGAAUACGUUCCCGGGCCUUGUACACACCGCCCGUCACACCAUGGAAGUUGGCCAUGCCCGAAGUCGUUACUCCAACCCUUGUGGAGGAGGACGCCGAAGGUGGGGCUAAUGACUGGGGUGAAGUCGUAACAAGGUAGCCGUACCGGAAGGUGCGGCUGGAUCACCUCCUAA